rnacentral:rRNA from 1 species
UACAGAGGGUGCGAGCGUUACUCGGAAUUACUGGGCGUAAAGCGUGCGCAGGCGGCUUUGCAAGACAGAUGUGAAAUCCCCGGGCUUAACCUGGGAACUGCAUUUGUGACUGCAUGGCUGGAGUGCGGCAGAGGGGGAUGGAAUUCCGCGUGUAGCAGUGAAAUGCGUAGAUAUGCGGAGGAACACCGAUGGCGAAGGCAAUCCCCUGGGCCUGCACUGACGCUCAUGCACGAAAGCGUGGGGAGCAAACAGG